rnacentral:rRNA from 1 species
GGCACGCCUAAACAUGCAAGUCGAACGCAGUAGCAAUACUGAGUGGCAAACGGGUGAGUAAUAUGUGGGAAUCUGCCUUUUGGUUUGGAAUAACACGGGGAAACUUGUGCUAAUACCGAAUAAGCCCUUACGGGGAAAGUUUUAAUGCCGAAAGAUGAGCCCGCACUUGAUUAGCUAGUUGGUAAGGUAAAAGCUUACCAAGGCAACGAUCAAUAGCUGUUCUUAGAGGAAGACCAGCCACAUUGGGACUGAGACACGGCCCAGACUCCUACGGGAGGCAGCAGUGGGGAAUCUUGCACAAUGGGGGAAACCCUGAUGCAGCGAUGCCGCGUGAGUGAAGAAGGCCCUUGGGUUGUAAAACUCUUUCGUCGGGGAAGAAAAUGACUGUACCCGAAUAAGAAGGUCCGG